UACAGAGGUCUCAAGCGUUGUUCGGAUUCAUUGGGCGUAAAGCGCGUGUAGGCGGUCCGGUAAGUCCGCUGUGAAAGUCGGGGGCUCAACCCUCGAAUGCCGGUGGAUACUGCCGGGCUAGAGUGCGGAAGAGGCGAGUGGAAUUCCUGGUGUAGCGGUGGAAUGCGCAGAUAUCAGGAGGAACACCAAUAGCGAAGGCAGCUCGCUGGGACGUUACUGACACUGAGGCGCGAAAGCGUGGGGAGCGAACAGG
rnacentral:rRNA from 1 species